rnacentral:rRNA from 1 species
GACGAACGCUGGCGGCGUGCUUAACACAUGCAAGUCGAACGGUGAACUCCGCUUGCGGGGGGAUCAGUGGCGAACGGGUGAGUAACACGUGGGCAACCUGCCCUCAGCUCUGGGAUAACUCCAAGAAAUUGGGGCUAAUACCGGAUAUGACCGCUGACCGCAUGGUCUGGUGGUGGAAAGAUUUAUCGGCUGGGGAUGGGCCCGCGGCCUAUCAGCUUGUUGGUGGGGUAGUGGCCUACCAAGGCGACGCCGGGUAGCCGGCCUGAGAGGGUGACCGGCCACACUGGGACUGAGACACGGCCCAGACUCCUACGGGAGGCAGCAGUGGGGAAUAUUGCGCAAUGGGCGAAAGCCUGACGCAGCGACGCCGCGUGGGGGAUGACGGCCUUCGGGUUGUAAACCUCUUUCAGCAGGGACGAAGCGAAAGUGACGGUACCUGCAGAAGAAGCACCGGCCAACUACGUG